UACGGAGGAUGCAAGCGUUAUCCGGAAUUAUUGGGCGUAAAGAGCUUGUAGGCGGUUUGUCGCGUCUGCUGUGAAAUUUCGGGGCUCAACCCCGAACUUGCAGUGGGUACGGGCAGACUAGAGUGUGGUAGGGCAGACUGGAAUUCCUGGUGUAGCGGUGAAAUGCGCAGAUAUCAGGAGGAACACCGGUGGCGAAGGCGGAUCUCUGGGCCGUAACUGACGCUGAGGAGCGAAAGCGUGGGGAGCGAACAGG
rnacentral:rRNA from 1 species